GACGAACGCUGGCGGCGCGCUUAACACAUGCAAGUCGAGCGAGAACCAGGGCUUCGGCCCUGGGGACAGCGGCGAACGGGUGAGUAACACGUGGGUAAUCUGCCCUCGGCACCGGGAUAGCCCGGGGAAACCCGGAUUAAUACCGGAUGGCCCAUCCGCUCCUCGGAGCGGCUGGAAAAGGUAGCUUCGGCCUCCGGCCGAGGAGGAGCCCGCGGCGGAUUAGCUUGUUGGUGAGGUAACGGCUCACCAAGGCAACGAUCCGUAGCUGGUCUGAGAGGACGAUCAGCCACACUGGGACUGAGACACGGCCCAGACUCCUACGGGAGGCAGCAGUGGGGAAUCUUGCGCAAUGGGCGAAAGCCUGACGCAGCGACGCCGCGUGCGGGAAGAAGGCCUUCGGGUUGUAAACCGCUUUCAGGAGGGACGAAGCCACUCGGGUUAAUAGCACAGCAUUUUGACGUUACCUACAGAAGAAGCACCGGCUAACUCUGUGCCAGCCGCCGCAGUAAAAC
rnacentral:rRNA from 1 species